rnacentral:rRNA from 1 species
UACAGAGGGUGCGAGCGUUGUUCGGAAUUACUGGGCGUAAAGCGCGCGCAGGCGGAUCCUGCAAGUCCGGAGUGAAAUCUCACCGCUCAACGGUGAGGCUGCUUUGGAUACUGCGGAUCUGGAGACCGGUAGAGGCUGGUAGAAUUGCAGGUGUAGCGGUGGAAUGCGUAGAUAUCUGGAGGAACACCGGUGGCGAAGGCGGCGUUCUGGACUGUAACUGACACUGAGGAACGAAAGCCAGGGGAGCAAACGGG